rnacentral:tRNA from 1 species
GACUCAGUGGCCGAGUGGAUAAGGUGAUGGCGUUUGAAGCGAAAGUUACUAGGUUCGAGUCCCAGAGUG